AGUUGCAUCUAGUUCGUCGAGGUGAUAGAUUUUUUAUGCCAUCUGCAUGUUAUUCACUAUUUGACGAGGAAAAAAAUUUUUUUAUGGAUGGUUUAGAAUCGUAAAGUUUCCUGACGUAUACACUUUAAAUGUAUCGUGGUGUGUUGGAAACAACGACAGUAAUGUCUCUGACAUGAAAAGUCAUGACUCUCAUGUGAUGAUGCAAUGCUUGCUUCCUAUGGUCAUCCA
rnacentral:lncRNA from 1 species